rnacentral:lncRNA from 1 species
AAUGCAAGGCGUUUUUGUCUAAGAGGAUUCAUUGUGAUGCUUUCAAAUGUAGGAAAUUUGUUCCGGCUUUGCCACCUCCUCCGCCGCUUUCACCACCUUUGCCUGCCCCUCCUCCACCUGUUGUGGUGCCUAUAUCUCCUCCACCGCCAGUGUUUUCUCCCCCACCACCGGUUUACUCGCCACCACCGCCUCCACCACCGGUUUACUCGCCUCCACCACCUGUUUACUUGCCACCACCUCCGGUUUACUCACCUCCUCCACCGAUUUAUUCCCCACCUCCACCGAUUUACUCGCCUCCACCACCGGUGUAUUCGCCUCCACCACCGGUGUAUUCACCUCCUCCACCUAUUUAUUCGCCGCCGCCGCCACCACCGGUGUAUUCACCACCGCCACCACCACCUGUUUAUUCACCUCCUCCACCAGUUUUCUCUCCACCGCCACCAUCACCUCCUCCACCAGUUAUGUCACCACCACCGCCGACUCCAUUACCAACGCCACCUUAUUGUGUACGCUCACCGCCACCUCCACCAAAUU